rnacentral:snRNA from 1 species
GGAUGUAAGGGAGAUCUGGCCACAACAUCUGUCACCCCACUGAUUGCCACGGUCGAUUUGGCUGAUCUGGCUGACUUGGUAGAGUCCUCUUCCUCCUUCAGUGCUCCAGGUGCGUCCUUGCUGAAGCAGCACGCUUGGUCAAAGAGGACCUCCCCCCCAAUAGAGGAGGACCGUUCCUCGGUCAAGGGUAUAUAUGUAGCUGCGUUCCCCUGUUAGAAUCUCCAAACAAGCUCUCAAAAACACAGCUGUGAUUUGGAUACGGAGUGUGUACAGCCACCAGAUACAACAAAGUAAGAAGGGAAGUUUUCAUUGUCCUUGCAU